GACAGCCCCAGACCAGCCAGACAGACAGACAGACAGACAUGAAGCCACCAGACAGACAGACAGACAUGAAACCACCAGACAGACAGACAGACAUGAAGCCACCAGACAGACAGACAUGAAGCCACCAGACAGACAGACAGACAGACAGGUGUUUAGGAGUAAAUACUUUAUUAACAUUCUCCUUCAGCACCACUAGAGGAUCAGAACUCUACAGGAAACAGAGACUCUGGUCCUGGUUCCCAUGGCUACAGUGGUUAGUGAGUGAGGCAGGCGGAGACCCUCCUCUCUGCUCUGCUACAGUCCUUAAUGAGGUCCCUUUAACACAGAGGUCCCCUGACCCAACCACAGAAUACUGCUUAGCGUUAACUAUGGUGACAGGUUCUCUGAUCGUUUGGUAGAACCUCGUCUCCUCUGGGUCCCAACCUAAAGAUAUUUUACACUGUAAAAGUUUUUUAAAAAGGUUAAAAUAAUUGUUGACUUGUGAUAGGGUCCUCCUCUGUUACCCAGAACACACUGCUUCACCCAGACAGCGUCCCAACAGUCUAAAGUAGCUCGUCUUCUCCUCCUUCUGAUCUGAAAGACCUGGUCACCUGAAACCGAAUUCCCUCAUCAUAUAUUCUUUAUACCGUUUUCCUGCGCAGACGAAGGAGAGGUGAGGAGACGAGAGGAAGCAUCUUCAGACUAUUGAGAUUCAGCCGGCCUGAAUUCCUUCCAUUAUUAAAACAAUUCAGUUAGCGCUCUUGACAGAUAGCAUUUAGCCAACCGUUAGCUCUAGACAGACAGUUAGCUAACCGUUAGCUCUUGACAGGUAGCCGUUAGCCCUAGACAGACAGUUAGAAACCGUUAGCUCUUGACAGGUAGCAGUUAGCUAACCGUUAGCCAUUGACAGGUAGCAGUUAGCUAACCGUUAGCCAUUGACAGGUAGCAGUUAGCUAACCGUUAGCUCUAGACAGAGAGUUAACUAACCGUUAGCUC
ensembl:lncRNA